rnacentral:rRNA from 1 species
CCUUUGACGUUAGCGGCGGACGGGUGAGUAACACGUGGGUAACCUACCUAUAAGGCUGGGAUAACUUCGGGAAACCGGAGCUAAUACCGGAUAAUAUUUCGAACCGCAUGGUUCGAUAGUGAAAGAUGGUUUUGCUAUCACUUAUAGAUGGACCCGCGCCGUAUUAGCUAGUUGGUAAGGUAACGGCUUACCAAGGCGACGAUACGUAGCCGACCUGAGAGGGUGAUCGGCCACACUGGAACUGAGACACGGUCCAGACUCCUACGGGAGGCAGCAGCC